rnacentral:rRNA from 1 species
UACAGAGGGUGCAAGCGUUAAUCGGAAUUACUGGGCGUAAAGGGUGCGUAGGCGGUCGAGUAAGUCUGAUGUGAAAUCCCCGAGCUUAACUUGGGAACUGCAUCAGAUACUGUUCAACUAGAGUAGGGUAGAGGAAAGCGGAAUGCCAGGUGUAGCGGUGAAAUGCGUAGAUAUCUGGCGGAACACCGGUGGCGAAGGCGGCUUUCUGGACUCAUACUGACGCUCAGGCACGAAAGCGUGGGGAGCAAACAGG